CCUUCGGGGUACACGAGCGGCGAACGGGUGAGUAACACGUGGGUAAUCUGCCCUGCACUCUGGGAUAAGCCUGGGAAACUGGGUCUAAUACCGGAUAUGACAACCUUGGGCAUCCAGGGUUGUGGAAAGUUCCGGCGGUGCAGGAUGGGCCCGCGGCCUAUCAGCUUGUUGGUGGGGUAAUGGCCUACCAAGGCGACGACGGGUAGCCGGCCUGAGAGGGCGACCGGCCACACUGGGACUGAGACACGGCCCAGACUCCUACGGGAGGCAGCAGUGGGGAAUAUUGCGCAAUGGGCGAAAGCCUGACGCAGCGACGCCGCGUGAGGGAUGACGGCCUUCGGGUUGUAAACCUCUUUCAGUGCCGACGAAGCGAAAGUGACGGUAGGUACAGAAGAAGCACCGGCCAACUACGUGCCAGCAGCCGCGGUAAUACGUAGGGUGCGAGCGUUGUCCGGAAUUAUUGGGCGUAAAGAGCUCGUAGGCGGUUUGUUGCGUCGGCUGUGAAAACUCGGGGCUUAACUCUGAGCUUGCAGUCGAUACGGGCAGACUUGAGUUCGGCAGGGGAGACUGGAAUUCCUGGUGUAGCGGUGAAAUGCGCAGAUAUCAGGAGGAACACCGGUGGCGAAGGCGGGUCUCUGGGCCGAUACUGACGCUGAGGAGCGAAAGCGUGGGGAGCGAACAGGAUUAGAUACCCUGGUAGUCCACGCCGUAAACGUUGGGCGCUAGGUGUGGGGGUCAUUCCACGGCCUCCGUGCCGCAGCUAACGCAUUAAGCGCCCCGCCUGGGGAGUACGGCCGCAAGGCUAAAACUCAAAGGAAUUGACSGGGGCCCGCACAAGCGGCGGAGCAUGUGG
rnacentral:rRNA from 1 species